GCGGGCUGUGAUUGGAUGAAGCCGAGCUCUCGCGAUGGUCCGGCCUCUUCCUUGGCCGUCGUUGACAGAGAGACAACGGCCAUGUUCAGUACCAGCGCCAAAAUAGUGAAGCCGAAUGGCGAGAAGCCGGACGAGUUUGAGUCUGGGAUCUCUCAGGCUCUGCUCGAGCUGGAGAUGAACUCUGACCUGAAGGCUCAGCUGAGAGAGCUGAACAUCACUGCAGCAAAGGAAAUCGAGGUGAAUGGCAGCCGGAAAGCCAUCAUCAUCUUCGUUCCCGUUCCUCAGCUCAAGUCCUUCCAGAAGAUUCAGGUGCGUCUGGUGAGGGAGCUGGAGAAGAAGUUCAGCGGGAAGCACGUGGUCUUCAUCGCACAGAGGAGAAUUCUGCCCAAACCCACCAGGAAAAGUCGCACGAAGAAUAAGCAGAAGCGUCCCCGGAGUCGUACUCUGACCUCGGUGCACGGUUCUGACCCGGUUCUCUUCUCUCCUCAGCCGUACUCUGACCUCGGUGCACGACGCCAUCCUGGAGGACCUGGUGUUUCCCAGCGAGAUCGUGGGUAAGAGGAUCCGGGUGAAGCUGGACAGCAGUCGGCUCAUCAAGGUUCACCUGGACAAGGCCCAGCAGAACAACGUAGAACACAAAGUGGAAACCUUCUCCGGCGUCUACAAGAAACUCACAGGGAAAGACGUCGUGUUCGAGUUCCCAGAGUUCCAGCUGUAAAUGCAGAUGACAAAAUAAAUUUGUUUACUGUC